rnacentral:rRNA from 1 species
GACCUGCCCUCGAGAUGGGGAUAGCCAUUAGAAAUAGUGGAUAAUACCGAAUACCGCUCAUGACCCUGUGGGGAUAUGAGGAAAAACAGGCUACGGCCUGGCUCGAGGAUGGGCCCGCAUCCCAUUAGCUAGUUGGUGAGGUAACGGCCCACCAAGGCGACGAUGGGUAUCCGGCCUGAGAGGGUGUACGGACACAUUGGGACUGAGAUACGGCCCAAACUCCUACGGGAGGCAGCAGCUAAGAAUAUUCCGCAAUGGACGAAAGUCUGACGGAGCGACGCCGCGUGGAUAGAAGAAGGCCGGAAGGUUAGUAAAAUUCCUUUUGCUGAUGAAGAAUAAGUGUGGUAGGGAAUGACCGCAUGAUGACAUUAGUCGGUGAAUAAGCCCCGGCUAACUACGUGCCAGCCGCGGC